GACGAACGCUGGCGGCGUGCUUAACACAUGCAAGUCGAACGGAAAGGCCCUGCUUGCAGGGUACUCGAGUGGCGAACGGGUGAGUAACACGUGGGUGAUCUGCCCUGCACUUCGGGAUAAGCCUGGGAAACUGGGUCUAAUACCGGAUAGGAGCCAUUUUUAGUGUGAUGGUUGGAAAGUUUUUUCGGUGUAGGAUGAGCUCGCGGCCUAUCAGCUUGUUGGUGGGGUAAUGGCCUGCCAAGGCGGCGACGGGUAGCCGGCCUGAGAGGGUGGACGGCCACAUUGGGACUGAGAUACGGCCCAGACUCCUACGGGAGGCAGCAGUGGGGAAUAUUGCACAAUGGGCGCAAGCCUGAUGCAGCGACGCCGCGUGGGGGAUAACGGCCUUCGGGUUGUAAACUCCUUUCGCUAGGGACGAAGCUUUUUGUGACGGUACCUAGAUAAGAAGCACCGGCUAACUACGUG
rnacentral:rRNA from 1 species